CAACAAAUGAAAAAAAGAGAAAAAAAGGAGCGGAUUGAAAAAAAAAAAAAAAAUGUUGUCACCUG
rnacentral:ribozyme from 1 species